rnacentral:misc_RNA from 1 species
GUGAAUCAUCGAAUUUUUGAACGCAAAUUGCACUCUCUGGUAUUCCGGAGAGUAUGCCUGUUUGAGGGUCAUUAAAAAGAAUAUCUAACCAACUUUCUUUUUUUAAAGGUAAUGAGGUCUUCGUGUAUACAGCGUUAGAUUGAUAUAAAAGGUCAAGUUUGAUUUUAGUUGAGACGCGCAAUACUAUUAUUUCGUGAAAGCUACAUUAUGUGAUUAUCAACUUUCGAUGCACAUAAAUUCGCUU